GGGGGCGUUCUGGAUUCGACUGUGUGGACGCGUCAUGAAUUGCAUGCCGAGGAUGGUUUGGAACCUCGUAAAUCAGCCUUACCAAAAAUCAACUGCCAACGAAGAAUUGGCUCUCGCGGCCUAAUUAAUCCGCGACGUCUGCCCCUUGACGCCGACUAGGGGGUGCAGGCGACGACAGACGGCUAGGGGAUCUGCGGAGAUCGCGCGCAUUGAACCGAAACUUUUUUCAUGCGUACUAGGUUGUGGGAUUUGUGUCCGGUCAUUAUCCCGCCACCGAAAAACGAAUCCGGACUAAGCAUGUAGAGGUUCAUGGUUAAUUUACUCAGGACGCGGGUUCAAUUCCCGCCGCCUCCACCA
rnacentral:tmRNA from 1 species